UCUCCGUAGGUGAACCUGCUGAGGGAUCAUUACUGAGUGAGGGCCUUCGGGCUCGACCUCCAACCCUUUGUGAACACCACUUGUUGCUUCGGGGGCGACCCUGCCGUUUCGACGGCGAGCGCCCCCGAAGGUCUCCCAACACUUCAUCUUUGCGUCGGAGUUUAAAACAAAUUAGACAAAGCUUUCAACAACGGAUCUCUUGGUUCUGGCAUCGAUGAAGAACGCAGC
rnacentral:misc_RNA from 1 species